AGAGUUUGAUCCUGGCUCAGGCUGGCGGCGUGCCUAACACAUGCAGUCGAGCGAUGAAGUUUCCUUCGGGAAAUGGAUUAGCGGCGGACGGGUGAGUAACACGUGGGUAACUUGCCUUAUAGUGGGGGAUAGCCUUUCGAAAGGAAGAUUAAUACCGCAUAAGAUUGUAGUAUCGCAUGAUAUAGCAAUUAAAGGAGCAAUCCGCUAUAAGAUGGACCCGCGUCGCAUUAGCUAGUUGGUGAGGUAAUGGCUCACCAAGGCGACGAUGCGUAGCCGACCUGAGAGGGUGAUCGGCCACAUUGGGACUGAGACACGGCCCAGACUCCUACGGGAGGCAGCAGUGGGGAAUAUUGCACAAUGGGCGAAAGCCUGAUGCAGCAACGCCGCGUGAGUGAUGACGGCCUUCGGGUUGUAAAACUCUGUCUUCAGGGACGAUAAUGACGGUACCUGAGG
rnacentral:rRNA from 1 species